rnacentral:rRNA from 1 species
UACGUAGGGCGCAAGCGUUGUCCGGAAUUAUUGGGCGUAAAGAGCUCGUAGGCGGUUUGUCGCGUCGGCUGUGAAAACCUGAGGCUCAACCUCAGGCCUGCAGUCGAUACGAGCAGACUAGAGUGUUGCAGGGGAGACUGGAAUUCCUGGUGUAGCGGUGGAAUGCGCAGAUAUCAGGAGGAACACCAAUAGCGAAGGCAGCUCGCUGGGACGGUACUGACGCUAAGGCGCGAAAGCGUGGGGAGCGAACAGG